AUUCCAAUGGUUGGUGGUUCCCCCAUCAACCAGCAGCAAGCGAAGGUGUCCUUGACACCCGUGAUAUGGUCGAGAGGCCAUAUCACGUCAUUUUUUU
rnacentral:ncRNA from 1 species